UACGUAGGUGGCAAGCGUUGUCCGGAUUUACUGGGUGUAAAGGGCGUGUAGCCGGGUUGACAAGUCAGAUGUGAAAUCCUGCGGCUUAACCGCAGAACUGCAUUUGAAACUGCCAUACUGGAGUGCCGGAGAGGUAAGUGGAAUUCCUAGUGUAGCGGUGAAAUGCGUAGAUAUUAGGAGGAACACCAGUGGCGAAGGCGGCUUACUGGACGGUAACUGACGCUGAGGCUCGAAAGCGUGGGGAGCAAACAGG
rnacentral:rRNA from 1 species